rnacentral:rRNA from 1 species
GGACUACCAGGGUAUCUAAUCCUGUUUGCUCCCCACGCUUUCGCGCCUCAGUGUCAGUAUCUGUCCAGGUAGCUGCCUUCGCCAUCGACGUUCCUUCCGAUCUCUACGCAUUUCACCGCUACACCGGAAAUUCCGCUACCCUCUACAGUACUCCAGUCAUGCCGUUUGCGAUGCACUUCCUAGGUUAAGCCCAGGGCUUUCACAUCACACGCACAUAACCACCUACGCGCCCUUUACGCCCAGUAAUUCCGAUUAACGCUCGCACCCUCUGUAUUACCGCGGCUGCUGGCAC